GAGUUUGAUCGUGGCUCAGGAUGAACGCUGGCGGCGUGCUUAACACAUGCAAGUCGAACGAAGCGCCUUAUUUGAUUUUCUUCGGAACUGAAGAUUUGGUGACUGAGUGGCGGACGGGUGAGUAACGCGUGGGUAACCUGCCCUGUACAGGGGGAUAACAAUCAGAAAUGACUGCUAAUACCGCAUAAGACCACAGCACCGCAUGGUGCAGGGGUAAAAACUCCGGUGGUACAGGAUGGACCCGCGUCUGAUUAGCUGGUUGGUGAGGUAACGGCUCACCAAGGCGACGAUCAGUAGCCGGCUUGAGAGAGUGGACGGCCACAUUGGGACUGAGCCACGGCCCAAACUCCUACGGGAGGCAGCAGUGGGGAAUAUUGCACAAUGGGGGAAACCCUGAUGCAGCAACGCCGCGUGAGUGAAGAAGUAUUUCGGUAUGUAAAGCUCUAUCAGCAGGGAAGAAAGUGACGGUACCUGACUAAGAAGCCCCGGCUAACUACGUGCCAGCAGCCGCCGUAAGACC
rnacentral:rRNA from 1 species